UAGGGAAUCUUCCGCAAUGGGCGAAAGCUUGACGGAGCAACGCCGCGUGAGUGAUGAAGGUCUUCGGAUCGUAAAACUCUGUUAUUAGGGAAGAACAAAUGUGUAAGUAACUAUGCACGUCUUGACGGUACCUAAUCAGAAAGCCACGGCUAACUACGUGCCAGCAGCCGCGGUAAUACGUAGGUGGCAAGCGUUAUACGGAAUUAUUGGGCGUAAAGCGCGCGUAGGCGGUUUUUUAAGUCUGAUGUGAAAGCCCACGGCUCAACCGUGGAGGGUCAUUGGAAACUGGAAAACUUGAGUGCAGAAGAGGAAAGUGGAAUUCCAUAUGUAGCGGUGAAAUGCGCAGAGAUAUGGAGGAACACCAGUGGCGAAGGCGACUUUCUGGUCUGUAACUGACGCUGAUGUGCGAAAGCGUGGGGAUCAAACAGG
rnacentral:rRNA from 1 species